UCGUAAACUCUCGGGUUUGAGUCU
rnacentral:siRNA from 1 species